AUGUCACCGACACCAAGUGCU
rnacentral:misc_RNA from 1 species